rnacentral:rRNA from 1 species
UACGUAGGGGGCCAGCGUUGUCCGGAAUCAUUGGGCGUAAAGAGCGUGUAGGCGGUCCGGUAAGUCCGCUGUGAAAGUCGGGGGCUCAACCCUCGAAUGCCGGUGGAUACUGUCGGGCUAGAGUACGGAAGAGGCGAGUGGAAUUCCUGGUGUAGCGGUGAAAUGCGCAGAUAUCGGGAAGAACACCGGUGGCGAAGGCGGCUCGCUGGGCCAUUGCUGACGCUGAGGCGCGAAAGCGUGGGGAGCAAACAGG